rnacentral:rRNA from 1 species
GCUAUGGGGUUUCGGGACGUCCGGUCUAUUUCAUACACYCUUCAUAGUAUUCAGAAUGUCAUCUGCGGAAACGCAUAAAAAUAAAUUAUAACUUUCAACAACGGAUCUCUUGGUUCUCGCAUCGAUGAAGAACGCAGCGAAAUGCGAUAAGUAAUGUGAAUUGCAGAAUUCAGUGAAUCAUCGAAUCUUUGAACGCACCUUGCGCUCCUUGGUAUUCCGAGGAGCAUGCCUGUUCGAGCGUCAUGAAACUCUCAAACCGCAUCUUUAUCGAUGUCGGGCUUGGACUUGGAYGUUGCUGGGCCCCCACGGGUUCGGCUCGUCUCAAAUGCAUUAGCUGACUCUCCCGACUUCAGUUUUCGGCGUGAUAAUCACAUCUACGUCGAUGCCGCGAGGCGCUGGACCGGGGAUCAAACGGCUUCUAACCGUCCGUGAGGACAAUCGUUUUCAUCUCAUUUGGCCU